GAUGAACGCUGGCGGCGUGCCUAAUACACGCAAGUCGAGCGAACAGAUGAGGAGCUUGCUCCUCUGACGUUAGCGGCGGACGGGUGAGUAACACGUGGAUAACCUACCUAUAAGACUGGGAUAACUUCGGGAAACCGGAGCUAAUACCGGAUAAUAUAUUGAACCGCAUGGUUCAAUAGUGAAAGACGGUUUUGCUGUCACUUAUAGAUGGAUCCGCGCCGCAUUAGCUAGUUGGUAAGGUAACGGCUUACCAAGGCAACGAUGCGUAGCCGACCUGAGAGGGUGAUCGGCCACACUGGAACUGAGACACGGUCCAGACUCCUACGGGAGGCAGCAGUAGGGAAUCUUCCGCAAUGGGCGAAAGCUUGACGGAGCAACGCCGCGUGAGUGAUGAAGGUCUUCGGAUCGUAAAACUCUGUUAUUAGGGAAGAACAAAUGUGUAAGUAACUAUGCACGUCUUGACGGUACCUAAUCAGAAAGCCACGGCUAACUACGUG
rnacentral:rRNA from 1 species